UUACGGCCAUAUCACGUUGAAGCUCCGGUUCCGUCCGGCAAACCGAAGUUAAGGAACGUUGAGCCUGGUCAGUGCCUAGAUGGUUGACCGUUUGGAAAUACCAGGUGCUGUAAG